ensembl:lncRNA
GUAUUGUAUAAAACAUAACAUAUUUUAUUCAUACUGUUUUUUUAUUUUUUUUAUUUUAAGGACUGUGAAUUCCUAUAGACCCUCCCCUCCCCCUAAAAAAAGGGAAGACAACUCAGUGCUCAGUUUUGGAAACAGAUGCUUCCUAUGUUCCUCUGUAUGCUUGUACAGCUGUUUCGAGCUAACUAGGUUUUUAGAGGCUCUAAUUUAAGUUAAUUUUGCCUAUCUGGUCAACCCUAGCCCCCCUCCGGAAUUCGGUGGGUAGCCUAGCAGAGAAAACGGCAGGUGAAAAGGCUGCACACCGUGGCAGUCGGUUGGUUUCCACUGGUGAUGAAUAAAUAACGGGACAAAAGCAGCGUCGCGUCUGUCGCACAUAUCACAGCUGCUGUAUCGGCUGCAGACGAGAGGAGAAAGCCAUCCGACAGCAGCAACCAACUCUAUCAUCUCCACUAGAGGGAGGGCUAUCUCACAACAAGGCCACCAAGGAGCUGCAUCUGAGAUUCUCGGCUUUAAAGGCAAAGUGCAUCACGCGGUGGCAGAGGCUGUAAAACGACUGAUACGGGUGAUGUUGCGAGGAGAGCGUUUCUAGCUCGCAGAGAAGGACACCGAGGUAGGCGAGGAUGGACCAUCCCCCGGGGAGAUGUAUGUCUACAGGAGACGCA